rnacentral:rRNA from 1 species
GGCUUUCAAUUGAAUAGCCCAAUUUAUGAAACCUGACCUCAAAUCGGG